AAUAUACUCCCUCCGUCCCAAAAUUCUUGUCUUAAAUUUGUCUAAAUACGGAUGUAUCAAGUCACGUUUCAGUAUUAGAUAUAUUUGUAUCUAGGCAAAUCUAAGACAAGAAUUUUGGGACGGAGGGAGUACUAU
rfam:Triticum aestivum genome assembly, contig: Triticum_aestivum_CS42_TGACv1_scaffold_129737_2BL